rnacentral:rRNA from 1 species
GUAACAAGGUCUCCGUUGGUGAACCAGCGGAGGGAUCAUUAUAGAGUUUUCUAAACUCCCAACCCAUGUGAACUUACCAUUGUUGCCUCGGCAGAAGCUGCUCGGCGCGCCUUACCUUGGAACGGCCUACCCUGUAGCGCCUUACCCUGGAACGGCUUACCCUGCAACGGCUGCCGGUGGACUACCAAACUCUUGUUAUUUUAUGGUUAUCUGAGCGUCUUAUUUUAAUAAGUCAAAACUUUCAACAACGGAUCUCUUGGUUCUGGCAUCGAUGAAGAACGCAGCGAAAUGCGAUAAGUAAUGUGAAUUGCAGAAUUCAGUGAAUCAUCGAAUCUUUGAACGCACAUUGCGCCCAUUAGUAUUCUAGUGGGCAUGCCUGUUCGAGCGUCAUUUCAACCCUUAAGCCUAGCUUAGUGUUGGGAGCCUACUGCUUUUGCUAGCUGUAGCUCCUGAAAUACAACGGCGGAUCUGCGAUACCCUCUGAGCGUAGUAAUUUUUAUCUCGCUUUUGACUGGAGUUGCAGCGUCUUUAGCCGCUAAACCCCCCAAUUUUUAAUGGUUGACCUCGGAUCAGGUAGGAAUACCCGCUGAACUUAAGCAUAUCA